ACUCUGUAACCCAGACUGGAGUGCAGUAGCACAAUCUUGGCUCACUGCAACCUCCAUCUCCUGGUUUCAAGAGAUUCUCCUGCCUCAGCCUCCCAAGUAGCUGGGAUUACAGGCAUGCACCACCAUGCCCAGCUGAUUUUUGUAGUUUUCAUAGGAGACAGGGUUUCACCAUGUUAGCCAGACUGGUCUCGAACUCCUGACCUCAAGUGAUCCACCCGCCUCUGCCUCCCAGUGUGGGGAUUACAGGUGUGAGCCACCACACCCAACCCACUUGUAAUACUGUUAAUGCUUUCUCUUUAUGUCGGCUUUUCCAUGAUGGUAAGUGUGUUUUUCAGAGAAACUCUGUAUUGCUACCCUAAAUAGAACACCAGUAUCUCAGAGACUAGAAGGCAACAGCAAAAAUGAAAUAAAACUAAAACAGUGUUAUAAAGCCCAGGUAGGUCCUAGUGAGGAAGGAGACCCAGGCAUCUGGGAUCACCUCCCCCUUGACGUCCAUCCUGCGUUUCAAUAAAAGAAAAGGCUGGCUGCCUGGUGCCUCCUGAGUCACCCUCCUGUAAAUAGCAAGCUUGGUAUUGGGGAAACCCUCCGGAAGACACUGUUUUUACUUAAACAAGAUCAAAGCCCCACUCUACUCCAUCCGGAGACCAGAAACCUUUCACAUGUGAUUCCUAAAGCUGUAAACCCAAAACCCUUUCACCAGUGAUUUCUAAGGCUGUAAACCUAAGAUUGUUUCACCUGUAAUAUCUAGAAUGUAAGCCUAUAUAAAGGCAAAGCCUCUCUUUGUUAAAUGAACUGGGUCAUUUAGACAAAUCAUCGCCCAACUCCUGGCUGUAAUAUUAAUAAACUCCUUCCCUCCCCGUUUGGUGUUCGAGAGCCCUGUUUCUCAAGGCCGCUCCUGCUACACUUUUGCCCAUCCAAGAGCUGAGCCCCUCCUGCCCUCUCUUUGUUCAAAGGAAAAUUCAAAAGGUAUAGAGAGGUUUUCAAGACAGGCCAGCUCCCAUCAAAGACUUGCCCUGGACUUAAGCAAAGGCAUUAAAAGAGAAUUGAGACAGGAAUGGCUUUCUUUUUUUUUUUGAGACAGAGUUUUGCUCUGUUACCCAGGCUGGACUGCAAUGGCGCCAUCUUGGCUCACCAUAACCUCCGCCUCCUGUGUUCAGGCAAUUCUCCUGCCUCAGCCUCCUGAGUAGCUGGGAUUACAGGCACGCACCACCAUGCCCAGCUAAUUUUUUUGUAUUUUUAGUAGAGACGGGGUUUUACCAUGUUGACUGGGAUGAUCUCUAGACCUUGUGAUCCACCCGCCUCAGCCUCCCAAAGUGCUGGGAUUACAGGCGUGAGCCACCGUGCCUGGCCUUCUUUUUCUUUCUUUUUUUUUUGGAGAUGGAAUCUUGCUCUGUUACCCAGGCUGGAGUGUGCAGGGGCACAACCUCAGCUCACUGCAACCUCUGCCUCCCAGGUUCAAGCAAUCCUCCUGCCUCAGCCUGCUGAGUAGCUGGGAUUACAGAUGCACACCACCAUGCCAGGCUAAUUUUCUGUAUUUUAGUAGAGACGGGGUUUUACCAUGUUGGUCAGGCUGGUCUUGAACUCCUGACCUCAGGUGAUCCACCUGCCUUGGCCUCCCAAAGUGCUGGAAUUAAAGAUGUGAGCCACUAGGCUGGGCGCGGUGGCUCAAGCCUGUAAUCCCAGCACUUUGGGAGGCUGAGGUGGGUGGAUCACGAGGUCAAGAGAUCGAAACCAUCCUGCUCAACAUGGUGAAACCCUGUCUCUACUAAAAAUACAAAAAAUUAGCUGGGCAUGGUGGCGCUCGCCCAUAAUGGGAGAAUUGCUUGAACCCAGGAAGCGAAGGUUGUGGUGAGCCGAGAUUGCGCCAUUGCACUCCAGCCUGGGUAACAAGAGUGAAACUCUGUCUCAAAAAAAAAAAAAAAAAAAAAAGAUGUGAGCCACUAUGCCUGGCCAGGAAUGGCUGGCUGGCUUUCUUGCCUUCCUUCCUUCCUUCCUUCCUUUUUCUCUCUCCUGCCCUCCUUCCCUCCUCUCCUCGAUGGAGUUUCGCUUUCGUUGCCCAGGCUGGAGUGCAAUAGCAUCAUCUCGGCUCACUGCAAUCUCCACCUCCUGGGUUCAAGCAAUUUUCUUAUCUCAGCCUCCCAAGUAGCUGGGACUACAGGCACCUGCCACUACACCCAGCUAAUUUUUGGUAUUUUUAGUAGAAACGGGGUUUCACCAUGUUGGCCAGACUGGUAUUGAACUCCUGACUUUUGGUGAUCUGCCCACCUCAGCCCCCCAAAGUGCUGGGAUUACAGACAUGAGCUACCGUGCCCGGCCAGGAAUGGCUUUCUUAUGGUAGCCAUCACUCGAGCUGUGCCCAGACCCACAAGCUCUUCCUGAUGAUGCCUGGGGACACUGCCUCCUUACAGCUUGUUUAAUCUCUCAACCCUCUGAGGUUGUCAUCACACUGCUAUCAUCCCCAUUUUACAGAUGAAAAAAUGGAGACUGUUGGCCAGGUGUGAUGGCUCACACAUGUAAUCCCAGCACUUUGGGAGGCCAAGGCAGGAGAAUCUCCUGAGGUUGGGAGUUCCAGACCAGCCUGACUAGCAUGGAGAAACUCUGUCUUUACAAAAAUAAAAAAAUUAGCCAGGUCAGCCGGGCGUGGUGGCUCAAGCCUGUAAUCCCAGCACUUUGGGAGGCUGAGGCGGGUGGAUCACCAGGUCAAGAGAUCGAAACCAUCCUGGUCAAAAUGGUGAAACCCCAUCUCUACUAAAGAUAUAAAAAAUUAGCUGGGCAUGGUGGCGCGCACCUGUAGUCCCAGCUACUCGGGAGGCUGAGGCAGGAGAAUUGCCUGAACCCAGGAGGCAGAAGUUGCGGUGAGCCGAGAUCACGCCAUUGCACUCCAGCCUGGGCAACAAGAGCAAAACUCUGUCUCAAAAAAAAAAAAAAAAAAAAAAAGGUAAGAAAGAAAAGAAAAAGACAAGCAGAGGUUGGAAUUCAAAUUUGCCUGGCCCCCAAAGCCGCAGCAGCCUUUGAGGCCAAAUUAUUUUCUAGCCUGACCUGUCCUGGCUGUAGGGAGAGCUUCAGAGGGCCAGGGCAUGGAGGAAGAAGUGGGGGACAGAAGAGCCCUCAUGUGUGACCUGCCCUGGACUUAGUUUGCUCAUCUGUGACCCUGCCCCGGAAGCACAGCCUGGCCCACGCUACCCUGGGCUCUCCUGACCCUGGAGCACCCCUUCUGCUCCUGAGCCCAGUGCGCCCCUUUUCUCUCCCUACCAGUGUGAUAUAGCUGGCUUAGAAUUAGAACCAGUGCAAUGUCAUUUUAAAAUGGGAAAACUGUUUCCAUUCUCCUCACAAUGACUGCUAGCCAUGCCUUCUGUAAACUACUAAGAUUACCUUGCAAUGCAAAGAGAGGAAAAGCUGCAUACUUUCUCUUAUCUGUAACUGCCAGAAUUGCUGGCCUUUGUUUACCAAAGUAAGCACCCCCAGCCAAGCAACUGAAAAAUCUGUGGACCCCACACCUGCCCAAAUAAUGUAUAAACUAAUGUUUACCUUGACCUCUGUAAACCACUUAGGUGGCAAUUGGAAUGACAAAAGUCCCCUGGCCCUUGGAAUGUCUGGAGCCCCCCUCACCCUCGUCUCAGCCUAGGAGGUGAUUGACAGCUUUCAUUCCCAUCUCCGCUCCUCACCCCCACUCCCAAGGUGGUUUUUCGGGUAUAAAAAGGUCUUGUCACUCUUAUUUCUCGGCCAUGGGUUGGAGAGACGUGAGUCCUCCGUGGUCGCCGGCAAUAAACCCUGCAAUUUGGCAUACUUUUGUUCUGGUGUUGACUUUCUGUGCUAAGUUCAAUCCAACACCAGCACCCCUGCAGGUCCCUUUCCUCCUAAGGUUGAGCACACAGGCUCGGAGAGGAAGGGAAGGCAUGGCUUGUGGCUGGCUUUCUGGCUGGAGAUGAAGAACCCUGCGGUGCUUGUGAAAGAAGGGAGUGGUCUGCCUGGGGUUGAAUCUGCCUCUAUUAGUAGGGUGGGUGUGGGCACAUUUUUAUUUUUUGCAACAGUGUCUUACCCAUGCUGGGAUUCAUUAUUAUCAUUAUCAUUGUUACUAUUUAGAGAGUGUCUCACUGUUGGUCAGGAUGGAGUGCAAUGACCUGAUCACAACUCACUGCAGCCUUGACCUCCCAGGUACAAGUGAGCCUCCUGCCUCAGCCUCCUGAGUAGCUGGGACCACAAAUGUGCACAACCAUGUCCGGCUCCUUUUUUUGUUUCUUUUUUUUUUUUUCUGGAGACGGAGUUUCGCUUUUGUUACCCAGGCUGGAGUGCAAUGGCGCGAUCUCGGCUCACCGCAACCUCCACCUCCUGGGUUCAGGCAAUUCUCCUGCCUCAGCCUCCUGAGUAGCUGGGAUUACAGCCACGCGCCACCAUGCCCAGCUAAUUUUUUGUAUCUUUAGUAGAGACGGGGUUUCACCAUGUUGACCAGGAUGGUCUCGAUCUCUUGACCUCGUGAUCCACCCGCCUCGGCCUCCCAAAGUGCUGGGAUUACAGGCUUGAGCCACCGCGCCCAGCAUAAUUUUUGUUUUUUUUAGUAGAGAUGGGGUUUCAUCGUGUUGGCCAGGCUGGUCUCGAACUCCUGACCUCAGGUGAUCUGGCCUCCCAACGUGCAGGGAUUACAGGCAUGAGCCACUGUGCCUGGCCCUUUGUUGCUGUUUUUAUUUGUUUUUUGAGACAGGGUCCUGCUCUGUCACGUGGGCUGGAGUGCAGUGGUGCAAUCACAGCUCACUGCACCUUAAACUCUUGGGCUCAAGUGAUCCUCCCACCUCUGCCUCCUGACUAGCUCAGACUGCAGUUACACCGGGCUAACUUUUUUAUUUUUUGUAGAGGCAGGGUCUCAAUUUGUUGCCCAAGCUGGUCUUGAACUCCUGGGCUCAAGUGAGCCUCCUGACUCAGCCUCCCAAAGUGCUGCGAUUACAGGCAUGGACCAACACAUCCAGCCUAGUUUUCUCUCGUAUACAGUGGGUGUUUUACAUAACAACCUCAGAAGGAUGUUAGAGGAUUCGAUUAACUUUUUUAAAAAAUUUAAAGAUAAAUAAAUUCAAUAAUAUGCAAGAAAGUGCAGGAGAAAUGAGACGCUAUUAUGGUUUUGUUACAGAAUAUCCAGGAGACUGAAGAGACCAAUGGGUGAAAGAGGAGGAUUUUAUUAAGGUGGCCACCAGCUCAGCCGAUUAGCAACUCAAAGCUGAGCCCCGAGAAGGAAAAGGGGUACUUUUUAUACAUCCAGGAUGUAGUAGCAGCUAACAGGUUUACAGAAGCCAGAACAAAGAACAGUUAAUUGGUUAACACAUCUUGUGAGGUACGUUACAUUUGAAAAAUAACAUUUUGAGGAAGGCAUUGAACAUUCUUUGUGUGUUAUCUUGCCCUGUGACCUUGCAGCUGGUCAACAAGAAAAACAGGAGUCUUGAGAUGCCUGGGAACUUUGCUGAGAAUGUGGGGACAAUAGAUAAGGUCGGUGCGUCCUGUCCCGAGGCAGGAACAGGCCUUACUCGUUCAUUCAGCACACAACGAUUGAGUGCUUACUGUGAACCAGGUGCUACGGAUCAAGUGUGAGGAGAUGAAAGCCCUGAAAAAUGAAUCCAGAUGGGAUUGAGACUUUGGCCUGCUGAGCCUGAGCAAGUGUGGUUUUCCCGUUGAUGUCGCCCUGCAGACAUGACCUGGACAGAGCUACUUGGGAGGCUGGGAUCACACCAUCCAUGCUCACAUGCUUUCUGGAGCCCUCCUGAGCACAUGUUGCUUCAGUGUGGGACUAAGAGCUGAAGGACUGGAUGCCCCGUUCUCCAGGAGCUGUGGGGGCUUUCACUGGGCAUGUGCCCACUCACCCACUGUGACCUGUUGACCUGGUGAUGUGUAUUCCCUGGGAGAGGCCAUCUCACUUGUUUCCUCUCUGGAUUCCUCCUUGGAGUGCUGGAAGCUUUCCUGGUGAAUCCUACCAGAUUCCCCUGAGCCACGCGUCGUGGAAGGACACGACUCGCCUGCCUCCUGCAGGCACCAGAGGUGAGAACCACAGCUGUCUGCAGAGAUGACUCCGUGCGGCCCGGGCUUCACCAGGAAACCUCGUCAAAAUAGCCAGAAGGACACAAAAGUUGUGGCUUCUCCUCCUGGGACAUUAAGGCUGAACUCCUGGGCUGUGCUUGUACUAGAGCCAAGAGGUCUGUCACAACAUCAGAGAAGUCGGGGACAUAAAGAAAACAGAUGUGAGGCCGGGCUCAAUGGCUCACGCCUGUAAUCCCAGCACUUUGGGAAGUCGAGGCAGGCAGAUCAUGAGAUCAGGAGAUAAAGACCAUCCUGGACAACAUGGUGAAACUUCGUCUCUGCUAAAAAUACAAAAAUUAGCUAGGUGUGGUGGUGCACACCUGUAAUCCCAGCUACUUGGGAGGCUGAGGCAGGAGAAUCACUUCAACCCCAGAGUCGGAGGUUGCAGUGAGCUGAGUUUGUGCCACUGCACUCCAGCCUGGCAACAGAGCAAGACUCUGUCUCAAAAAAAAAAAAAAAAAGAGAAAGAAAGAAAACAGACAUGAGGUGCACACUUGAGGAAAGAGAUCGGCACAAGAUUUGCUGAGCUCACAAACAACGGUCUUUUGUAGCUGGGGCUGAAGUCAGAGGUGGCCAAGGGGAACGGGACAUAGAUUCCAGAAGCACCUGAUAUAGAAGGCUAUUAUAAUCAUCCAGAUGAAAGAUGGCAGGUUGAUCAGCAAGGUAGGGUUGGGAGAAAUGGUGGAUUACAGUACCUUAGGUGGAGCCCAGGGGAUUGCUGAAGAAUUGGAUAGAGAUUAUGACAGAGAUGAAAGCAUCGUGGAUGACUCCCAGGUUUUUGGUCUGAGCAACUGGAGAAUGAAGUUGUCCUUUUUUUUUUUUUUGAGACAGAGUUUUGCUCUCGUCGCCAAGGCUGGAAUGUAGUGGUGUAAUCUCAGCUCACUGCAAACUCCACCUCCCAGGUUGAAGCGAUUCUCUUGCCUCAGCAUUCUGAGUAGCUAGAAUUACAGGCACCUGCCACCAUGCCUGGCUAACUUUUGUAUUUUAGUAGAGACCUGGCCAUGUUGGCCAGGCUGGUCUUGAACUCCUGACCUCAAGUGAUCUACCCAUUUUGGCCUCUCAAAAUGCUAAGAUUACAGGUAUGAGCCACCACACCCCUCCUAGAAUUGUCCUUUACUUAAGAAAGUCUGUGGGAGAAGAUUUGGAGGAGAAUUAAGAGUUCUGUUUUAGACUGGGUGCAGUAUACCUGUAAUCCCAGAACUUUGAGAGGCCAAGGCAGGCGAAUUUAGGCCAGGAGUUCGAGACCAGCCCGUCCAACAUGGCAAAACCCCAUCUGUACUAAAAAUAGAAAAAUUAGCCUGGUGUGAUGGAAUAUACCUGUAAUCCCAGCUACUUGGAUAGCUGAGGCAUGAGAACCACCUCUGGGAGGCAGAGGUUGCAGUGAGCCAAAAUGGUACCACUGCCCUCUAGCCUGGGCAAUAGAGCAUGACUCUGUCUCAACAACAACAAAAAAGUUCUGUUUUAGACAUGCUACAUUUGAGAUGCUUAUUCACUUCCUAGGGGAAGUGGUGGUUAGAAGCUGGAUAUAAAAGUCAGAAGUUUUAGUCGGGCAUGGUGGUGCAUGCCUGUAAUCCCAGCUUCUCAGGGAGCUGAGGCAGGAGAAUCGUUUGAACCUGGGAGACGGAGGUUGCGGUGAGCCGAGACUGUGUCACUGCACCCCAGCCUGGGCGACAGAGUGAGACUCUAUCUCAAAAAAAAAAAGCAGACGUUCAAGGGAGAAGUCGCACCUGAAGAUAUUUAUUUAUUUAUUUACUUACUUAUUUACUUAUUUUUUUGAGACAGAGUCUCCCUCUGUUCCCCAGGUUGGAGUGGGGUGGUGCAAUCUCCACUCACUGCAACCUCUGCUUCCUGGGUUUAAGUGAUUCUCCUGCCUCAGCCUCCUGAGUAGCUGGGAUUACAGGCACGUGCCACCAUGCCCAACUAAUUUUUGUAUUUUUAGUAGAGAUGGGGUUUCACCAUGAUGGCCAGGAUGGUCUUGAUCUCUUGACCUUGUGAUUCAUGCGCUUUGGCCUCCCAAAGUGCUGGGAUUACAGGCUUGAGCCACCGCGCCCGGCUAUUUUAUUUUUUACCUUAUUUGGCAAUCUCAGAAUCUCACAGAGACAUAAAUUUAAGCUGAUGAGACUGGAUGAGCUUAACUAAGGAGUGAGUGUGAAUAAAGGUGUUGUGAGAUCUGAGCUCUUGGGCAUUCCAAAGUUUACAGUUCGGGAAAAUGAGCAGUACUGUCCAGUAUCUCGUCCUCUUCCACAUGCCAGAGUCUUCCCAUCUCCAUUCACUCAUCCACUCAUCCAUCAGACAAAUCAUCACGCAGCAUGUACUACACACCAGGCCCUGUGCUAGGCUCGGUGGAUACAGUGAAGAGAAGCAAGCAAUUGCCUGGUAUCAGGGAGCUUAAACUAAAGUGGGGAGGGACAGAUAACGACACGCAAGCCAAUAAGUGAACGAGGUGUCCUUUUCAGGGUUCAAAUCCAGACAAAUCCAUGUAACGUAAUCACAAAGGGAUUUAGGUACUUAGAAAAUCAUGGCUCUGGAGUUAGACCAUCCUGCCAUUACCUGCACUACCAAAUGACUGAGCCUGGUUGGAGGAAGUGAAACCAAGACUGAGCAGUAAGGGAAGUAGAGAAGGAUGGGCCUGAGCUGUCUGGCCUUUCAUGCUAGGAGUGAAGUUGGGAGGAGUGAACAAUGACAGAGUCAAUCCAUAGUGCCAGCCACACAGGCUGAUUAAAGUGUCACUGAGGGGCCGGGCGUGGUGGCUCACGCCUGUAGUCCCAGCACUUUGGGAGGCCGAGGUGGGUGGAUCACGAGGUCAAGAGAUUGAGAUCAUCCUGGUGAACAUGGUGAAACCCCGUCUCUACUAAAAAUACAAAAAAUUAGCUGGGCAUGGUGGCGCAUGCCUGUAAUCCCAGCUACUCAGGAGGCUGAGGCAGGAGAAUUGCCUGAACCCAGGAGGCGGAGGUUGCCGUGAGCCGAGAUUGUGCCAUUGCACUCCAGCCUGGGUAACAAGGGUGAAACUCCGUCUCAAAAAAAAAAAAAAAAAAAAGUCACUGAGGAAAUGAAUGGGGAGAUGAGAAUGACAGGGGGUGAAGGGGUCUUUUAGAGAGGGAGUUAAGGACGUCCUCUUUGAAGAGUUCAGGUAGCAUGCUCAGCACCCAUUCUACUACAAAUAAUUACUUUAAACCAGGGAAUCAACAGCAAUCUCAUCCCUCUUGCCAGUGACUGUUGUAGGGAUGGGCACGUCUUCAGAUCCUUUCCACCACACCUAGCUCAUAGUUCAUCCAUCAACCUGCUCUGGCACAGUCCCUGACCAAGUCCAGGUAUAGGUGCAGAUAUAGCUGUGACCUCGUGGUGCUGUGUGCCUCUUAUCUUCUGUCUUGGGUCUUCUCUAUUGCUACCUCAACUUAGAAUCUGGGAAUUCACGAAGUGCCCUGGCAUGAACAACCCAGAAAUGCAGGGAGAGUUAACGUUCCUUAGGGGAACCUUUGACCAAUGUGGGGUGGAAGCCAUAGGUAGAUGCUUUCCCCAGGAUACCCCAGGACAUACCAUCCUGAGGCACAUUUCAUAUAGCUUCCCAGCGGUCCAAUAGGUUAGAGUAACCAAACGCUUGUAGCCCUGGCCAACUGGAAAUCAUUUCUUUGUGGCUAUCUGCUUCCCUGCUUUGCUCCUCUACCCUCAUUCCUGAUUCUCAGUAAAAUACCGACACACCUGCUUUGUCUCAGGCUCUGUUUCCUGGGAACCUGAGGCUAAGGCAGCAUGUGACUCAUCCUUACCAAUGACAGUAAAAGGGGAGGAGUGUUGCCGUGAGAGGCAUUGGAUAACGAUUUCCUUAUUCUUGCAAAGAAGAUACGGGAAGAGAUUGUCUCUUCUUCCUCCUUUGAAUUUCGUUGUGCCUGGACAUGAUGUGGGGUAUUAGUUGGUUCUCACACUGCUAUAAAGAAUUCCUUGAGACUGGGUAACGUACAAAGCAAAGAGGUUUAGUUGGCUCAUGGUUCUGCAGGCUGUACAGGAAGCAUGGCUGGGGAGGCCUCAGGAAACUUACAAUCACGGUGGAAGGUGGAGAGCAGCAGGGUCGUCUUACAUGGCAGGAGCAAGAGGAAGCAAGCAAAGGGGAAGGCGCUACACACCUUUUUUUUUUUAGAGAUGGAGUUUCACUCUUGUUGCCUGGGCUGGAGUACAAUGGCAUGAUCUCAGCUCACUGCAACCUUCGCCUCCUGGGUUCAAACAAUUCUCCUGCCUCAGCCUCCCAAGUAGCUGGGAUUACAGGUGCCUGCCACCACACUGGGGUAAUUUUUGUAUGUUUGGUAGAGAUGGGUUUUCACCAUGUUGGCCAGGCUGGUCUCGAACUCCUGACCUCAGGUGAUCCGCCCACCUCAGCCUCCCAAAGUGCUGGGAUUACAGGCAUGAGCAACUGCAACAGGCCAGCUACACACUCUUAAACAACAAGAUCUCAUGAGCACUCACUCACUAUCACCAGAACAGCAAGGGAGAAAUCCACCCCCAUGAUCCAAUCACCUCCUACCAGGCAACUCCUCUGACACUGGGGAUUACAAUUUGACAUAUUUGGGCAGAGAUAUAAAUGCAAACCAUAUCAGUUGGGAACACUUGUAGCAAUUGAAAGUAACCUCAUUGAUGGGAUCCAUCUGGCUGUCAGAAGGAAACAGAACAAGAUCAAAUGGGGAAAUGCAGGAGAGUUCAGUGAAGGGCCCAUUCGCCAGGGUUUGGGCAUAGCGAAGGGAAAUUAACAAGGAAUGCUGAGCCAUGUGCUGGGGCUAUGAACAGCAGAGAAUCACUGCCACUCUAAGGCCUGGGGGCUAAGGGAAAGGAAGAAGUGAGCAGAACCCAGAAAGAGCAGUUAAAAAGCGAGGGAGCCAGGUUCAGUGGCUCACGCCCGUACUCUCAGCACUUUGGAAGGCCAAGGUGGGCAAUCCCAUGAGAGCAGGAAUUCCAGACCAGCCUGACCAACACGGAGAAACCCGUCUGUACUAAAAAAAAAUUACAAAUUAAGGCCGGGCACGGUGGCUCACGCCUGUAAUCCCAGCACUUUGGGAGGCCGAAGCGGCUGGAUCACGAGGUCAAGAGAUCAAGACCAUCCCGGUCAACAUGGUGAAACCCCGUCUCUACUAAAAAUACAAAAAAUUAUCUGGGCAUGGUGGUGCGUGCUUGUAAUCCCAGCUACUCAGGAGGCUGAGGCAGAAGAAUUGCUUGAACCCAGGAGGCAGAGGUUGCGGUGAGCCGAGAUCGUGCCAUUGCACUCCAGCCUGGGUAACAAGAGCGAAACUCCAUCUCAAAAAAAAAAAAAAAAUUAAAAGUUAGCUAGGUAUGGUGGUGCAUGCCUCUAAUCCCUGCUACUCAGGAGGCUGAGGCAGGAGAAUAGCUUGAACCCAGGAGGCAGAGGCUGCAGUGAGCUGAGAUUGUGCCAUUGUACUCCAGCCUGGGCAACAAGAGCAAAACUCUCAAAAAAAAAAAAAAAAUCAAGGGAGCCAGUGUGGAGGCUCAUGCCUGUAAUCCCAGUACUUCGGGAGGCUGAGGCAGGUAGGUCACUUGAGGUCAGGAGUUCAAGACCAGCCUGGCCAAUAUGGUGAAACCCUGUCUUUACUAAAUAUGCAAAAGUUAUCCAGGCAUGGUAGCGGACACCUGUAAUCCCAGCUACUUGGGAGGCUGAGGCACAAGAAUCUCUUGAACCUGGGAGGCAGAGGUUGCAAUGAGCCAGGAUUGUGCUGCUGCACUCCAGCCUGGGCAACAGAGCAAGACACAAUCUCCACCUCAAAAAUAAAAAAUUUUAAAUGUGAAGGGACCAAUCAAUCAGCAAGCAACCUGGCAGGGAGAGGUCCAGACCUCACUCUCCUCUUGCUGUCUGACCUCUGUCUCUUGCUAUUCUUAAGGGUCAGCCUCUUGGGGCCCAAGGCAGGGUGGAAAGGGUGAAAAAUUGAUUUGAAGGGGCAGAUGGGAAAAUCAGUCCACUGAUACAGGAGGAGGUUUUCAAGU